AUGCUGAUGCAGCAGCUUUACCUGAUCCUGCCAGACACGGAGCUGGGCUGCAGCCAGACCUGGUGGCCAGAGCCCUUUUUUUUUUUCCCCAUAGAGGAAAGGACUCUUGCUCUCCCCACCCCAGAUCCCCUUGGUCGGUUGGCACGAUGCUGCUCUGCAAUCCACACUCCAGAAGCAGGAGCAGUCCUUACAACUGUCAAAGUUGAAGAGCUUUCCAGCCUACGAGCUCGUAGAGUCCCCCGCCAUCCCAUAAUGCUGGGUGCAAGCUGGGACGAGCUCGGGGCAGCUCUGUCCCUUUCUCCUCUCAGGAUGCACAGGGGGAAAUGUCCCCACUUUGUGCUGGGCUGGCAGGGAUGGAGGCCUUUGGGGGUGCCAUGGGUGCACUGCAGGACGCUGUAGGGAAUGGUGGGGAAGACCAACCCGUUUGAACCCGGUUCUAUGGGCACCAGGAAGGUCUCGCUGUGCUCUGUCCCCAUGGGUUUUUGGUUCAGCUGGCCGCCUGCUGCUGCGCUGCCCAUCGUGGCGAGCAGGGCAUUGCUCCCCAUAGAGAAAUGACGGCGGGGCCGGGGAUCCUUUGUGUUCUGUGCGUGGUAACCCGAAACAAUGAGGGAUUCCUUUCUGCUCCUGGCACACACGUGCUGGGCGGCAGCCUCAUGCCAUGCGGAACGAGCUGGAACUCAAAUGCACUUUUCAGGAUCCCCCUGCUCCCAGCCAGAACAUCACCCUGCCUUAAAUCCCCAUCUCCAGGCUAAGAAAGCAUUGAAAUUCGCUCCCUGUUGGUGAUGUACGUUCCCUUCCCCAGACCGGGCGGCAGAGCAGGGCGGUGCUCUCUGCUUUCCGUGCCCCCCAGCCCAUCCUUCCUCCAGUUCAGUUCUUUCCUCCCAGCUACGAGAUCGAAUCUGGCCUUGCUUUCUCUCUCUGCUCCCCAAAGAAAUCCCUGCACCCCCCAAAAGGUGCCAGCUGACGAGCAGCUGUACUGCAAAAGGGACACUGCAGCCAGAACGCUGCUGUUCUGUUUUGAAUUCAGUCUUUUGGAGCUCUCUCCGUGCUAGGAUAUUUUUAUUUUCUUUGUACAACAUACAAUCAUGUACUCUUAACAGAGAUUUACUUUAAAGAGAAGAAGAAGAAAAAGAUAAAUCUGGAAGUAUUCUUUAAAAAAAAAAAAAAGAAAAGAAAAUACGCAAAAAUCUUUAUUAAUAAUCCUGUAUUUUUACUGAUCAUGUUUGAAUGUCUAAAAAAGACUUUAUUGUUCUAAUUAUCCAGAUGUAUGUUUGUAAAAUAGCUCUUUUAUGACUUAGCUGAUAAGGUUGUAUGUUUCUGGAAUUAAAUAUUGGUCACUUAAAAAAAAAAAAGAAAAGAAAAAAAGAGAAAUCUUGUUUUCAGGAUCUGGGAAAUAGAAAAAUUUACGCGUUUCAAAUAUCAUUAAAUAAGCUUAAAGGAAAUGCGCUCUGAGUGCUGGGUGAUUUUUUUUUUUUUGGGGGGGGGGUGGCUUUGUUGUAUUUGCUUGAAGCACUCGGCUGCUGUCCCCGUGGGCAGGGGGAGCUUCCCUUGGGUACCAGGGCUCCUCGGGAGCUGUGGGUGCUGCUGAGGACGGGGCUGUGCCGCUCUCUGGGUCAGCAGCGCUCGCACCGAGCGUCCCAUGGGCGCCGGGUGGGAUUGGGGAGGGGGAUCUGCGGUGCACGUCCCACUUGGGUACCCCAGGAGCUGCCUGUAUGCGGCCUCUCAACGCAGCUCGCUGUUGCCGGUCGUCAUUUUUAAGCCUUGCUGGAUGCAUUUCUCCCCUUGCAGCAUCGCUGCUCGGCUGGAAGCCUGCAGCUCUGUGUCACCAUCCUGCUGGGCUUCCAGGGGGUUUGCUCUCGAGGCGCGGGGCACAGCCCCAGCGGGGACGCUGCAGGAGCAGGGUGCUCCCUUCUGCUUUUCCUUUCGUCCUGCGGCGUGCCUGGGAAGUUUCUGGAGAGGUUGCGGUGUUGUAAUUGGUAAUCAGAGCCCUAUUAUUCUUUCCUAACGACGCCGCUCGUGUUUUGCCUGUUUGAGUGCUAUUUUAUAUAUUCCCUUCGUUGCGCUGCUGUAAAUAAAGGGUUCCACGUAAGCA
ensembl:lncRNA